AUACGAAGGGUGCAAGCGUUACUCGGAAUUACUGGGCGUAAAGCGUGCGUAGGUGGUUGUUUAAGUCUGUCGUGAAAGCCCUGGGCUCAACCUGGGAAUGGCGAUGGAAACUGGGCGACUAGAGUGUGGCAGAGGGUAGUGGAAUUCCUGGUGUAGCAGUGAAAUGCGUAGAGAUCAGGAGGAACAUCCGUGGCGAAGGCGACUGCCUGGGCCAACACUGACACUGAGGCACGAAAGCGUGGGGAGCAAACAGGAUUAGAUACCCUGGUAGUCCACGCCCUAAACGAUGCGAACUGGAUGUUGGGUGCAAUUUGGCACGCAGUAUCGAAGCUAACGCGUUAAGUUCGCCGCCUGGGGAGUACGGUCGCAAGAUUAAAACUCAAAGGAAUUGACGGGG
rnacentral:rRNA from 1 species